rnacentral:lncRNA from 1 species
CCGCUUUCUGCAAAAGGUCUGUACAGUUUAUUCAGAGAACGUUCUGAAGUACAUUACACAAAGAAGUUAAUUUUAUGCUCCCUCCCCGCUUACGCACAUACCUCCACACAAACAGUAGAUAUCCUACGCACAUCCAUACACACGAACAGUAGGUGAAUAGUAUCCCUCCCCGGACUUCUCACCACUGUUAAUCACUAUCCAGCACUGCCUGUUCCUUUCCCCCGAGGUUAGGGGGACCUUGAAGGUUACUCCCUGUUUCUUCCAAGCCUCUUCAGGUCGGGUCACACACACGUCUACAGUUCCCUUAGGCCCACUAACACACACACAUUUCUCUUCCUCCCAGGCCUCUACUAGACCAUAUGGGACUUACGUUCAGUACUUUAAUUAUUCAUCACACAUGCUACAUAUCUACUAAUUACUAAUCAGUUAUGUUUCAGGGAGGGAUUCUUUAUUCAUUUACCUUUAUUAUAUAAUUUCCUUAUCAGUAACCCUUUCCAGCUUUGUGCAAGUCAACGAUUCUUAAUUUUAGGUCUUCGGAGAUCUCUUUUGUUCAAGGCAUGGUUCACAUCAGGCAAUGCUUCUUGUGAAUAGCAAACUAAAAUUGUGUGUCACACCCUGAUCUGUUUCACCUGUCUUUGUGAUUGUCUCCACCCCCCUUCCAGGUGCCGCCCAUCUUCCCCAUUAUCCCCUGUGUAUUUAUACCUGUGUUCUCUGUUUGUCUGUUGCCAGUUCGUCUUGUUUAUCCAGUCUCUUUUUCUCACCCUCCUGGUUUUUACCCUUGCCUGUCUUGACUCUGAGCCCAUCUGCGUGUCCACUCUGCCUGCCCCUGACCCUGAGCCUGCCUGUCGAACUGUACCGUUGCCCCACCUCUGGUUUACUGACCCCUGCCUGCCUUGACAUGUCUAUUGCCUGCCCCUGUUGUAUUAUUAAACCACUGUUAAUUCGACAUGUCUGCAUCUGGUUCUUACCUUCACACCUGAUAUUGUGAGUGUUUUUUAUAGGGCAAGGCAGCUCUAACCAACAUCUCCAAUCUCGUCUCAUUGAUUGGACUCCAGCCUAGUCCUGUGGGGAUUGAAGACCUAGUCGGCCGGCCGCAAUGCUGCCAACACUGCAGGUUCAGUACAAUAACAGUAGCAGUCAC